CCCCUUCAAGAUGAGACAUCCCCGAGGCCUCGAGCCUCCUGAAGGGCCCAGCGAGACCAGCUGGUUGAUAGGCCGGGUGUGGAAGCGCUGCAAGGCGUUGAGCUAACCGGUACUAAUGGCCCGUGAGGCUUGACCAUA
rnacentral:rRNA from 1 species